GACGAACGCUGGCGGCGUGCCUAAUACAUGCAAGUCGAGCGGACGGAUGGGAGCUUGCUCCCAGACCGUCAGCGGCGGACGGGUGAGUAACACGUGGGCAACCUGCCUGUAAGACUGGGAUAACUCCGGGAAACCGGGGCUAAUACCGGAUAACUCUUUCCCUCACAUGAGGGAAAGCUGAAAGAUGGCAUCUCGCUAUCGCUUACAGAUGGGCCCGCGGCGCAUUAGCUAGUUGGUGAGGUAACGGCUCACCAAGGCGACGAUGCGUAGCCGACCUGAGAGGGUGAUCGGCCACACUGGGACUGAGACACGGCCCAGACUCCUACGGGAGGCAGCAGUAGGGAAUCUUCCGCAAUGGACGAAAGUCUGACGGAGCAACGCCGCGUGAGUGAUGAAGGUUUUCGGAUCGUAAAACUCUGUUGUCAGGGAAGAACAAGUACCGGAGUAACUGCCGGUACCUUGACGGUACCUGACCAGAAAGCCACGGCUAACUACGUG
rnacentral:rRNA from 1 species